rnacentral:rRNA from 1 species
AUGCAAGUCGAACGGGUCUAGACUGGGUAGCAAUAUCCGGUCAAAGACUAGUGGCGGACGGGUGAGUAACACGUAGGGAACCAACCCCUUGGAUUGGGAUACUCCCGAGAAAUCGGGCACAAUACCGGAUAUAAUCCCAAGGUGAAAUGCCAUGGGAUGAAAGCUCCGAGCAAUCGGAGCGCCUUGGGCUGGACCUGCGGCCUAUCAGCUAGUUGGUGAGGUAAUGGCUCACCAAGGCAAAGACGGGUAGCCGGACUGAGAGGUUGAUCGGCCACACUGGAACUGAGAUACGGUCCAGACUCCUACGGGAGGCAGCGGUGAGGAAUUUUGCGCAAUGGGCGAAAGCCUGACGCAGCGACACCGCGUGGGGGAAGAAGGCUCUCGAGUUGUAAACUCCUUUCGUGAGGAAAAAAGUCCCGAGCAAUCGGGGUGAUGGUACCUCAGGAAGAAGCCACGGCUAACUCUGUGCCAGCAGCCGCGGUAAGACAGAGGUGGCAAGCGUUGUUCGGAUUUACUGGGCUUAAAGGGCGUGUAGGCGUCCUGAUAAGUCAGAUGUGGAAGCCUUGAGCUUAACUCAAGAAUUGCAUUUGAAACUAUUAGGAUUGAGUCAGGCAGGGGAGGGCGGAAUUCCUGGUGGAGCGGUGAAAUGCGUAGAUAUCAGGAGGAAGGCCCGUGGCGAAAGCGGCCCUCUAGGCCAUGACUGACGCUGAGGCGCGAAAGCGUGGGUAGCAAACAGGAUUAGAUACCCUGGUAGUCCACGCCCUAAACGGUGGGUA